UAGAGGAAUGACCUUUGGAAAGACAUUGGAAGGACAGUGCAUUCACUGGAGAGAUGAGAUUCACCAGACCAUUCCACUGCUUAACCAUCAGAUGUCCUGUUUUCUCUAAGGGAGAAGAAAGUCCUUGAAUCCACACAUUACCAGUCAUGGAAGUGCAUGCCUGUAACCUAGCACUCAGGAGGCUGAGGCAGGAGGAUUGCAGAUUCAAGGUCGGCCUGAGUUACAAGACUGAGAGCAUACACAGCAGCUCGAAGAUGAGGAAGAUCCCAAGCAAUCUGGACAAACUGAUCACCUUCACAGAGCUUUGCCUUUGUGUGACCCAGAAGUUCCUCUGACCCUAUGACAAGCCAUAGUCCCACCUCCUUCCCACGCUCAGCAGGAGUCAAGCCCAUUCCCUCUCCCAUCCAACUGGUUGACCUUAGCUGCAUGAAGGGGAGGGACUAUGGAUGUAUAAGCUGAGAAAAGUGCGAGGCUGGUCUCUUGCCGUUUUGUGUGGCUGUCGGGAAGCCACAAGAUUUAUGUUUGGGUGUGGACUUUUGAGCACAGCCACGAAUGGGGAGGUGCCCACUCGUCUGUAAGUAAACCAGCGCCCCAAGCUCAGUUCGCAAGUCCAAUAAA